UGGGGAAUAUUGCACAAUGGGCGCAAGCCUGAUGCAGCCAUGCCGCGUGUGUGAAGAAGGCCUUCGGGUUGUAAAGCACUUUCAGCGAGGAGGAAGGUGGUGGACUUAAUACGUUCAUCAAUUGACGUUACUCGCAGAAGAAGCACCGGCUAACUCCGUGCCAGCAGCCGCGGUAAUACGGAGGGUGCAAGCGUUAAUCGGAAUUACUGGGCGUAAAGCGCACGCAGGCGGUUUGUUAAGUCAGAUGUGAAAUCCCCGGGCUCAACCUGGGAACUGCAUUUGAAACUGGCAAGCUAGAGUCUCGUAGAGGGGGGUAGAAUUCCAGGUGUAGCGGUGAAAUGCGUAGAGAUCUGGAGGAAUACCGGUGGCGAAGGCGGCCCCCUGGACGAAGACUGACGCUCAGGUGCGAAAGCGUGGGGAGCAAAACAGAUUAGAUACCCUGGUAGUCCACGCUGUAAACGAUGUCGAUUUUGGAGGUUGUGCCCUUGAGGCGUGGCUUCCGAGCUAACGNGUUAAAUCGACCGCC
rnacentral:rRNA from 1 species